AGAGUUUGAUCCUGGCUCAGAACGAACGCUGGCGGCGCGCCUAAUACAUGCAAGUCGAGCGAGAAGGUGUAGCAAUACACUUGUAAAGCGGCGAACGGGUGAGGAAUACAUGGGUAAUCUACCAUCGAGUGGGGAAUAACCAACCGAAAGGUUGGCUAAUACCGCGUACGCUUCCGAAUCUUCGGGUUUGGAAGGAAAGCCGUGCUGUGAGUACGGCGCUCUUUGAUGAGCUCAUGUCCUAUCAGCUUGUUGGUAGGGUAACGGCCUACCAAGGCUUUGACGGGUAGCUGGUCUGAGAGGACGAUCAGCCACACUGGCACUGCGACACGGGCCAGACUCCUACGGGAGGCAGCAGUAAGGAAUAUUGCGCAAUGGGCGAAAGCCUGACGCAGCGACGCCGCGUGGGGGAUGAAGGUCUUCGGAUUGUAAACCCCUUUCGGGAGGGAAGAUGGAGCGAGCAAUCGUUCGGACGGUACCUCCAGAAGCAGCCACGGCCAACUUCGUGCCAGCAGCCGCGGUAAUACGAAGGUGGCAAGCGUUGUUCGGAUUCACUGGGCGUACAGGGUGUGUAGGCGGUUUGGUAAGCCUUCUGUUAAAGCUUCGGGCCCAACCCGGAAAGCGCAGAGGGUACUGCCAGGCUAGAGGGUGGGAGAGGAGCGCGGAAUUCCCGGUGUAGCGGUGAAAUGCGUAGAGAUCGGGAGGAAGGCCGGUGGCGAAGGCGGCGCUCUGGAACAUACCUGACGCUGAGACACGAAAGCGUGGGGAGCAAACAGGAUUAGAUACCCUGGUAGUCCACGCCCUAAACGAUGUCAACUGGUUGUUGGGUCUUCACUGACUCAGUAACGAAGCUAACGCGUGAAGUUGACCGCCUGGGGAGUACGGCCGCAAGGUUGAAACUCAAAGGAAUUGACGGGGGCCC
rnacentral:rRNA from 1 species